GUUCUGAGCCAGACAACACAUAGAAAUCAAAGUUGAGUUGUGAUACAGGGGUUUAAGCGACAUGAGUUCAGAUAAGACAGGUUUGAUAGACCAAAGACACCAUUCUUGCAGAGGGUCGUAAAUAUCUUAUGUGAGGAUCGCAGGGUGAAGGGGGAGAGAGGGGGAGAGAGAGAAAAAAACAAGCGAACAGUGCAGAAGAUGGUGUUAGA